CUCACUUACACUACUUUGAAUCACUGGACUAGAUUUCACCACCAUAUUUCAGCUGUCAGUGUACUUGUAAUGUUGUACGCUACAUCCAGUCGAAGACGUUUCCUUUUGGUGAAUAAAAUGCGAUUUAUGACUGUUUUAUUACUUUGGUAACCAGCAGAUACUGGUCUAGCUAGACACUGCUAGCUAAGCUAGCUAGCAUUAGCUGAUAAAGUAGCACUGGUCACUUCUGCCUCUGAGAUACCAACAUUUUAGCAACACUGAAGAUACAACAUAAAUCUGAUAUUUCAUAGUGGGCAUCUUUUAUAUACGGGGUAUCAUACUGAGCAUGUGCAGAGUCAGUCUAAGCACUCUAGCUUGUUUCUGAUUGGGGAAAUUAAGAUUAAUACACUCAUCCCCGAUCUUGCUUCCUGAAACAGGCUCGAAUAAACGGUAAAUGUAAAUUUCAUAUUCUGAUUUGCAUGUUGCUGUAAUUCUCUGCAAAACCAGAAGAGGUCACAGUUUGAAGCUUACUAAGCCGCUGCUCUCAGCAGCAACGACGCUGUGAUUCCUGCAAACGCUCAAAGCUGAGGAUCAUCGACCAAAUCACAGCAACAAAGUCAUCAGGUCACGCGUUUUUACAAAUACGUAACAUACACCUUAACAUCACCCAUUACAGCGCUGACUCCCACACAAAAACAAGGACGACGACGCUCUCCACCUUCUCCGCUCAGUACUUCAAUGUUUCUAACAGCUUCAAACGGUUCGGCCCACCUGUGGCUCCCGUCCGCUCGAUGAGAUGAAGAAGUGUGUCAUUAACGUUAUUAAAGCCUCAAGCAUUUUUCACCAAGAGCAGGGAAGUGAUCAGUGCCUCUCAGGAGGGCGGCGUGGAGGGAUGUGAAGAAGAGUUUAAGGCCUCAGGAAAAGAGAACUGUGUGCUUUGCUGAGGUAUUUCAGGCUUUAGCAGAGGGGUCCUGACAGGGGGACCCACAGAGUGGUCUUUGUCCCGGCAGGAGGGCUGGCUCUGUGACCUGGGGUUCGACCUGGACUUAUCUGAUCCUCCUGGAGUUCAGAUCAAUGAUGACCUGCAGGGAGGAGGGGUGAUCGCCGUGGGUUUAAUAACAGGGGGCUGAUAGUGGGGCAGUGCAUCUGUCAGGAGGGACGGCAGCAGCUCUGUUCAGAGGGAGGAGAAUCUUUUUCCUCUAAAGCAGCUGGUUUCAAAUUCACUGAGAGUAAACAGUGUGAGAGUCGGUG
ensembl:lncRNA